GUAACAUUCUGCCACCCUGAUUCAACAACAAAUAUUAAUGCUGGAACAUUAUUUUGGAUGAUAAAGUGACUUCAUGCGACAAAAAUGGAAGACAAGGAGUCUUUUAUCGAACCAUCUGAAGACCAACAUUCCUAGAGUGCUGGUGAUAUGGGACUGAUUUGGUCUAUAUUUGGAUAUGUGCAAGACAACAAGCCACCACAGCUCAGUGUCAAGCUGAAAAAAGCUCGUGAUGUUGUAGCAUCCCCUACAAAAUGGAGAGAUGUUCAUCUGCCAAUUGAUAU